UCUGGGGGGCGGCUACAUGCUCUCGACGGUACAAGGAUUACCUUUGCUUCUUUUGCAUGACGAGUGGCGGACGGGUGAAGAUAAUGUCUUGGGAACUUGCCUUGAUGGAGGGGGAUAACCUACUUGGAAACGGUAGCUUAAUACCGCAAUAACUGUCGCAAAGCACCAAAGAGGGGGCCCUUUCGGGCCUUUUUGCCUAUCGGAUGUGCCCAGAUGGGAAUUAGCUAGUAGGUGGGGUAACGGCCCCACCUUAGGCAGACGAUCCCUUAGCUUGGUUUGAGAGGAUGACCAGCCACACUGGAACUUGAGACACGGUCCAGACCUCCUACGGGAGGCAGCAGUGGGGAAUAUUGCACAAUGGGCGCAAGCCUGAUGCACCAUGCCGCUGUGUAUGAAGAAGGCCUUUCGGUUUAUAAAGCA
rnacentral:rRNA from 1 species